GGGAUUGCCCUAGUAACGGCGAGUGAAGCGGCAACAGCUCAAAUUUGAAAUCUGGCUUUCCUCUGGAAGCCCGAGUUGUAAUUUGCAGAGGAUGCUUUUGACAAGACACCAUCCGAGUUCCUUGGAAUAGGACGCCACAGAGGGUGAGAGCCCCGUCUGGUUGGAUGUCGAGUCUCUAUAAAGCUCCUUCGACGAGUCGAGUAGUUUGGGAAUGCUGCUCAAAGUGGGAGGUAUAUGUCUUCUAAAGCUAAAUACCGGCUAGAGACCGAUAGCGCACAAGUAGAGUGAUCGAAAGAUGAAAAGCACUUUGAAAAGAGGGUUAAACAGUACGUGAAAUUGCUGAGAGGGAAGCGCUUAUAACCAGACGUGAGUAGUGUCCAAUCACCCAGUAUUCUUACUGGGGCACUUGGAUAUUUUCAGGCCAGCAUCGGUUUGGCACAGGGGACAAAGACACGUGGAACGUAGCCCCCCUUUUGGGGGGUGUUAUAGCCUAGUGUGUAAUGCCCUGUGGUGGACCGAGGAACGCGCAUCACUGCAUGGAUGCUGGCGUAAUGGUUGUCAGCGACCCGUCUUGAAACACGGACCAAGGAGUCGUCCUCGUAUGCGAGUGUUUGGGUGUAAAACCCGUACGCGGAAUGAAAGUGAACGUAGGUGAGAGCUCUCACGAGCGCAUCACCGACCGAUCCUGAUGUUCUCGGAUGGAUUUGAGUAAGAGCAUACGGGGCCGGACCCGAAAGAAGGUGAACUAUGCCUGCGUAGGGUGAAGCCAGAGGAAACUCUGGUGGAGGCUCGCAGCGGUUCUGACGUGCAAAUCGAUCGUCAAACGUGGGCAUGGGGGCGAAAGACUAAUCGAACCUUCUAGUAGCUGGUUUCCGC
rnacentral:rRNA from 1 species